CUGGCCGGACAGGUAUUUAGAAAAUGUCUUCCCCUCUUUGACCAAGUAUUGGCUGAAAGGAGUGCAGUCCAAACUGUAACCAAAGGAGGCAUUAUGCUUCCUGAAAAACAUCCAGUAAAGGCAUUGCAAGCAAUGAUAGUAACUGCUGGACUGGGCUUUAAGGAAAAGAGUGGAGAGAUUUUACCCAUUAGCAUAAGGGUUGGAAAUAAAGUUUUUCUCCCAGAAUAUGGAGGCACCAAAGUAGUUCUAAAUGAUGAGAUUAUUUCUUAUUUAGAGAUGGUGACAUACUUGGAAAGUCCGUAGACUGA
rnacentral:lncRNA from 1 species